GGUUUGUGGGGUUGAAGGGACCAGAUUACUAUGGUCAUCGGUCUUGGAGCAUGGACCUAUUACAUAAAAAAUAUAGAACUGCUGUAGUUCGUGUUGUGAAGAUUUUCUGUGUGGCAAGAGACUUAAGAAAAAGAAUGGGGUUUCCACUAUUUAGAUUCGUGACUGAAAUGAGUUUUGGCAAUUAACAGAGCUGGAAGUAGUUACAGUAGUUUGGAUCUGUAUUAUUGAUAGGAUUUCUUGCAAUUCAGGGACAUUUUUUGUGUUAAUUGUUGGAAGUCAUGUAGUCAAUGUAUAGCAGUUAGAUUGCGUUGGGCUUCUAUAUUGUGGGUAGUAAAUUAAUAGGUUAUGUUUGAGUUGCCUUUGUCAGUGAAAAUUCUCUUGGUGAGUGUUUAAUAAAAGAAAAUAAUUGAA